GGUGAGGCUAAACUAGAUUAAUAUGAGGUUUGGUAGAAAAUAAUUAAGUUGAGAUUAGUAACAUGCUUAAUUAGGAUCAUUAGAGGAUUAAUUAAGGAAAAUGACUAAUGUUAAGUGUAGUUAAUCUUGAUUAAUUAGGACUAAUAUAGCUAAUUGUGGUUGAUUAGACUUAAUUAAGUUAACUGAUGAUAAUUGCUGGUAAAACCUAAUAAUGUAAGGACUAAAUUAGAUUAGAUGAUAGUAGAAAAGGAAUUAAGUAAUGAAUUAGUUAAGGUGAUUAAAUAAGGUGAAUGACUAAUGUUAUUGUGGGAUUAAUUGGUUAAGCUAAGAAUUAGUGAAGUUGUGGUUAAAUAAUGAAGUAAGUAAGAAAGUAAUUAGGGAAACGGUAACUUAAGUAAGCCAUAAUCAGUAAUAGAGAUAAAAUAGUUUAGUACAAGACAAAUGAACUAGGAUAUAAUAACUAGUUAACCUAAGUGUAGUUAACUAUGCUAAUUAGAAGUUUGCUAAAGUCUUUAAGAACAUAAUUCAACUUAGAUGACUAAGAAUAAUAAGUGGACUUAAUAAGGUAUCUAUGUGAAGUAGUUAAAGGAACCUUAGAAUAAUCAACUAAAGUAGAUGAUUAAUGAGAAAUCACUUAAUAAGUGCAUAUGCAUAUAGAACAAGUAGGAGCAAGACAUAAAUCAAGUAACCUAUAGACACUCUAGGAGUAGCGCUAUAACAUCAUAAAUCGUUGCAGAAUGAAUGAUUGUGCGAGAACUUAAUCAAAGAGAUCGUCACUAGGUAUCAUGAAGGAAAUGACGCCAGGACGAGGAAUCUCCUAACUUAUGUUUAAAAUGCAUUGGAUAUCCAGGUCAGCGGAGGACUGAGUUUACCUUCAUUAUAAGGGCUUGAGUGUGGCUUUAGUGCAUACUUUGGUUAUGUGUUUGGUUGGAUUAUGUGUUGAUUGAAUUGAUUGUCUGAUAUAUGCAUGACUUGAAUGAAUGAUUGUUUGAAUAACAUGCUUAUUGAAUGUAUGUCUAAUAUGCCAUAUGAUAAUGCUGAUUGUGAUGAACAGAUGUCUGACUUGUUUGGAAUGGAUGUGCAUGAUUGUAAUGUUGCACUGUUUAGAAAGGGAUUAUAAGUACACUAUGGGAUAUAGUGGUACUUUAGGUGAUAAAGCCUUUGGCUUGGACAUUGAAAGAGUGUGGCAUAGUGAUAACUUGAGCCGAGGAAAUUAUUAUAGUUUGAGCUCACAAGAAUGGACGCCUAUGCAAUCCAAAAAGGUUUCUUUUGAAAUAGUAGUCGUCAUCUUCAGGAGAUUCUCAUUUGAAAUGUUAGGUAGAUUUGAUAAAACCCUGAAGAUUAGGUUUACUCCUUUUGGUUAUCGUUUGGUUCAAAAAGGUUUCAAUAAAGGUAAAAGUGAAUGCAUAGAUGGACCCCCGAGGAUAGUGCUCAAGUUACCACGUACCAGGGACUAGUUGUCGGCGUGAGUGGGACAUGAUGUUGAAUGGGACGCAUCAUGAGCCACAAUAAAGUCGGGGACUAGCACCAAAAGGUGUGCCUUGUGGAAUUCAUCUUAGUUAUGAAUAUCCUUGAAUGAUAUAGAAGAAAUAAGGGGGCGUAUGUAUGGCAUAUGAAAACACAAGAAACAAUAAGGAGUAGGAAGGUACUGUCACUACCACUAGAGAGAGUGGGAAUACAGAGACGCCAAAGGUGGCCUUGUUCAGAGAUGAAUAGGCCCGGGACUUACACUGCGGUACACCUCUAUUGUCGGUUACGACGUGGAUCCCUGAGGUCGGGCUGGCAAGAAGUUUAAGGCAAAGAGUUGAGUCGUGUAUUUCUGUCGGAAAAGCUACUGAGCGUUCAUUGUCCGGUAAAGAGUGGACUGUAAGGAGUGUCCAUGUUCCCGGGACGACCUUCCGAAGAUUGUGAAGCUAAAAGCUUCGGGCCUUAAAACACACAUAUACAACCUAAAUAAUUUAAAAAGGUCAGGCGAGGAACCCUCUUCUCCCAUGAUCAACGAGGGAGAAGUCUGACUGAAGGAAGGGGUAAUAAGGUGGUAAACUCUCACGCUGCAUCAUAUUGUAUGUGUUUGAUGAUUGGUUUGUGAUGAUAUUAUGAUAUAAUAAUAUUGAUAUAUCUAGAAUAUGAAUUGUGUUUGGUCGACCGGCAUGUGACUCGAGUCGGUGCUACUAACACAUUCAUGUUCUUAUAUUGUUGGUAGCUCACUCCCUCCAGUGGUUAACAUUUUCAGGUAAAGGAUUGAGAUGGGCUUAGAUCGAGUUGGUUGCUGUUUGCCGAAGCUAUUAAGCCAUGGUAGCUGUCGGUGGUUAGGAGGAUAGGACCUAGUGAAGAAGCAAAGUUAAGUGUAAGGAUGUAGAAUUAGGUUUCAGGUUGUUUAGGCAUAGACGUUGUCUACUUUGAUUUGAAGUUUAAAAAGGGAUUAUGAUAUUCCGCCUUAAUCCUGAGAACAAGUUGAGUUGAGAUUUGAAAGUUUGAUGUACUUAAGGAAGUUAGUCAAGAGAGUUAAUAGUCAAAAAAAAAAAUCGUGACGUCUUCUUUCCACUCUCUGAGUUGACGUUACUCAGGAAGGGGGAAGGGGGUGUCACACUUCAUGAUUAAUUGAGUUGAUGCAAUCAAGGAGGGUGGUUGGUCCAGAGUAGGUGUAGGGAACAAGGGAGAGGUUUGGUUCAGGUGAUGAAGAUUGAUUGCCUCUUUCUACCUCAGAGGGAGAGCCAAUCUGCAGAGUCUGAUAUGUAGAUAUGUUGGCCUCAGGGUUUUGAUGAGAGGUUUCAGUCUCAGGGUUUUGUGAUUUGUCUGAGGAAUGGUUUGACACUGAUUCAACAUUCUCUGGAAGAGGAGAAUGAGGAAGAGGAGGUGGAGGAGGCAUUGAGGAGAGAGGGACCCCUUGGAUUGGGAAAUCCGGAGCAACCAGAGGUUCUGGCCUUGGUCCAGGGUAGCGGUUUGGACUGGGAACAGUAAUGAAAUUUGGAGGAAUUUCUGAAAUCAUUUCUCUUGCAAUUUGAAAGAAUUUCCGAUUGGCUUCAGAUUCAUUUGAGGGAGAGGCGAAAGAAACAUUGGUUGGAAAAGAAACAGAGGGACCAGGAGAGAGAAUUUCACGUUCAGAGUGAGUAUGUGUAUGUGGUUCAGAGGUGGUUUUAUCAGAGGCUUGCACUAUACCACAAAAAGGAUUAAGUAGCGGCUCAAAAGUAGCAGUUUUAAAAGAACCACUACCUUAUCACCUUUUUUUUUUUGAAAAUUGGUGUGAAGGGGCUAAGGUAGUGGUUAAAAAAACUACUGCAACCUUUAAGCAAGCAUUGGUAGUGGGCUAAAUAACAAAACAGGGAAGGAGGGCUUUGGCAACGGGUAAAAAAGAACUGCUACCUUAGAAUUUGCUACUUUAGCAUUUUAAAAUUAAAAAUUAAAAAAAGCUGGGUUUCUCACUUUCUCCACUAAUAGAUUGUGCACGCAUAGAUUCUUCCCGCCCUACUCCACACCUUGCUGUGCCGUCAUUGCAUCGAUCCUUUUGCCAUCUCGCGCCCUAACUGUCUCCUUUCCCCAUUUCUGAGCCGACCCACAACUCCUCUGCCAUCAUGCUCACCAGAAGAAGACGGAGAACGAACAACACCAGCACCAAUAGCAGUUGUAAGGCCUAAAACCCUUGAUUCCACAAACCCCAUCUCCAAAAUUCCCAUUUUUUAGGUCAGGGGUUUCCAAUUUAGGCGAAACUGGAAGAAUUGUAACAGGAACAUUGCGAUUGGGAUUGGAAUCAGCAGAGCGACACUUUCGACCUUCCCAAUCAGCGGUGAAAGAUGCGGUCAAAUUCGCUGUCGAUGCCCAUGACACGGAGGUUGGUUGGGUCGAGGAGGGAGUGGAAGGGAGGAGAGGAAGAAGUUGAAGAAGGAGGGGUUGGGGUUGGGGGCUCGUAAUCGAUGUUCCUCUUGGCGUUCAAGCGCUGCAACCGAGGUUGAGGUUGCUUCUUCGUCUUCCACUUCCACUCCAUUGUUACUGGUUAUGCUCUUGUUCUUCUUCUACUGCUUCUUCUCUGGCUGCUGGAAACUACUAGAAAGGAAUGUGCUGAGUUGUUUCCUCUUGGUUGCAUUCUUUCUUACCACUUUUACUUACUUACCCAUGUCAACCAGUGGGGUCUAUCACUAUACCACAAAAAGGAGUGUGGCUCGUAUUAACUGGAGCUAUUUUGUGUUGAGUUGCUGAGAUUGCCGGUUGCUUAUCUUGGCUGCAUUGUUUCUGCGACCCUGCAUUUUCCUUGCUGUGUCACUGCCUCUACACGUUAUUGAUUUGGUUGUGUUUUUCCCUUGUUUCUAUUUUCUGUUUUGUGCACUGUGUUUCUUUAUCUUUCUGUUUUGUUCCUUUUCUUCUCUGGCCUUGGCGGUCUUCACUUUGUGUUGGUCCCCCUUGGCUUUGCCCGUACUGCUCUUGAGCUUUUCAGCUCAUGUCUUAUGCAAUUAAGCUUUUGUUUCCAAAAAAAAAACUAAUAAAACACUAGUAUGAUAUAAUGAUACUAGUGUGCGGACAAUGUCUGCUUGGCAGCCGUAGGUGUUUAUCUUCCCGUUACUGAAAGAAAAUAGAUUAUUAGUAUGAAUCUAGACUUCUCCAAAUGGUUUUCAUGGAUUUUGUAAUGGGUGGAUAGGAUCGGUUCUGAUAUUAGAUGCAAAUUGUCUAUUUAAUGAAAAAAUGCACGAGCUCUUUUAGGAUUAUAUAAUGAUAGUGAUAUUUUGUCAUAGGUUCACAUUAUGCAGAAACUGUAAGCGCCUUUCCAAGAAGAAAAUACUUAUAUUCAUUCUGUAGGGAAGAAUUUUGAGGGCAAUGAGCUUGAGGAAUUGGGCGCAUAUGAGAAGGGUCGCCUUCAAAAUCAACUUCUCACAUGUUCUGCAAAACACUUACUACCUCUGAUACCAUCACUCACAGGGGAUUUUCUGUUCCUCGUAGAGCUGCUGAGGACUGUCUUCCUCCUUUGGAUUAUAAGCAGCAGAGACCCUCUCAAGAGCUUGUUGCGAAAGACCUGCAUGGUGUGGAGUGGAAAUUUUGUCAUAUUUAUAGAGGUUAACCAAGGUGGCAUCUACUCACUACUGGCUGGAGUAUUUUUGUAAGCCAAAAUAAUCUUGUUUCUGGUGAUGCAGUGUCUUUUCUAAGGGGCGAAAAUGGAGAACUAAGAUUGGGAAUCAGAAGAUCUGUUGGGCCUAGAAAUGGUCUUCCUGAAUCAACUGUUGGUAAUCAGAACAGUUAUCCCCAUAUCCUAUCUGUUGUGGCAAAUGCUAUAUCCACCAGAAGCAUGUUCUAUGUUUUCUACAGUCCAAGGUACUAAUACUAACUGAUCACGUAUUCUUGCUUUGCAAGAUGUAUGGAGUUCAUGCUGUAAUUAUUUUUUAUUUUGUUGUCAGUUGUCUCAAUGUAAGUAAAAUAAAACACUAGUUUCUUACUUUUUUUAUUAUUUCAAUUAAUUUUGUGCACGCUCUGGCAUGAUGCAAGGUUAGUGUGUGUGUGUAAUAGCACUAUGUGUAUGACAAUUGAUAAGAAUGAACUUGUGAAACUCCACUGUUGUGAAUGGAAACAAAUAGGGAACACUUUGAUUUGGACAGAAUGGCCCUAUCCUUCCUAGAAAUUAAGAUAAAAAUAUCUUUACAGCUUACUUAGUAGCUGUGGCCAUAACCAUAAGUUCAUAACCUAUUUAUUCAACCAAUUUUCUCCUUUUCUGAUUCCUGAUAAGUGGUGGUGGGAAAUGGGUUCCUUCUACUUAGAGCCUUUAAAAAAUAAACUAAAUAUGAUUCUUCCUCUGAUUGGUUUUCUCAUAAAUAAAAAAUCUUUUGCCAUAAGUUUUAAUUUUGUGUUGAUGUAACUUCUUCCUCUUUGGCUGCUAACUCAUGAGUCAUGAUUACUAUGUCGCUCUAGCAAUGAGUCUGUAACAUGUUUGAAUUUGCUAUAAUACAGAGCAAGUCAUUCAGAUUUUGUUGUUCCCUACCAAAAAUAUGCUAAAGGCAUACAGUUCAUUUAGAAAAAAAAAAUUAACGCAGCGGUUUGGAACCGCUGCCUUUGUUGUUAAAUAUUUAAAAAAGGCAGCGGUUACAACUGCUACGUUUGACGUUCACUGGAGUCAUUUGUGCAGCAUUGGUAGCGGUUCCUUAAAUAUCAACCGCUGCCUUUAGUGUUUAAAGGUAGCGGUUAUGAACCGCUACUGUUGCACUUACUCAAAGGCUACACCUUGCUUUUCUGCGGUUAGAACCACUACCUUUGCUAUAUUUUAACCGCUACCUUAUCUAUUUUUUGUACUAGUGUUGUGUUUCAAUAACUUGUGGUUCAAAGGUUUCUGGAUUGUAUGGAAGUAUAAUAGGUGAGGUGGAAGCAGAGGGUUUGUUUGCUUGGAGCAUUUUCCAGAGAGGUUCUUCCUCAAUGGAAGGUUGGAAGAAUGAAGCUCUAGGGGGUGAAGGAGGAGAGGUUGGUUGAUUGAUUGGAGUGGGUUCAUGAUUGGUUUGAUCAUGAAUUGCAUCAAGCAAAUUUAAAUCAUCAUCUGAAAGAACAACAAACUUACUUGAAGCUCUAGCUGCAGAUCUUGUGACUCUGGUAGAAGGUGCAGUUCUAGCAGGCUCCUGAGUUGGUUGCAGAUGAGUGACUCGAGUCACAAUCCUGACCUUCUUGGCCUUCUUCUGAGGCGGUGGUUCAUCAUCAUCAUUGUCAUCACCAUCAGAGGGAUCAUUCUCCUCAGAGGCUUCAACUUGCUUUCUUUUAGUCUUCCUUUUCCUAGGAGACUCAAAGUCAGGAGGAUCUGGAAGAUUCCUGAAGAAUUCAUCCACAUCAAUCUCAUAGCCUUGUCGCCUCAAAUCAUCAAGGUAGAUUCUGAUUGCCUCUGGGUCAUCAGCCUUGGACCAGAGGGGGUAGUCCUUCAGAUGGGUUCUUCUUCUUGGUGUUGCAUCAGCAACUUUGACCUCAGUCUUUGUUUCUAUCAGGCCCAUUCUCUUCAUGGAAGUAGGAGUGAAGACAUCCCCAGUAAAUGUUGUCAAGUCUUCAGUGCAUCCUAAUUUUUGCAAAUCCUUUAUCAGUUUGCUCUCAAUGAAGAAAUCAGAAAGCAGUCUGCCAAAUGGUAUGUAUUUGAUUGCAGACUUAGGUGAAGCAGUGGUUCUUGACUUCUUGAUGCACUCCUUCAGAUAGGAGAAGAGAAAGUAGGGCAGACAGACUUUGCGGUGCUCCUUGAUGAAGAAGAGUAACACCUUCUGGGUGAAGUUGAUGUAAUCUGGAGAGCUUCCCUUAGGCCUUUGAUUUAUGCAAUUCAGCAGAAUCAUGUGCUAGAUUCUCAAAUCAGGAUGAAGAUCCUUGGUCUUGCAGUCAUUUUUCCCUGGCUUCCAUGUAGAGUAGAGAGUCAUGUUGACUGCCUCUUUGGUUUUUGGUUUGACCUUUGAUUCCUGCAACUGGAAUCUGUAGCCAUUGUUUGUUUCUGCACCCAGAAGCCUUGCAAACGACCUCUCAGAAAUAAUGAUCCUCUUCCCUAUAACAAAUGACACCACUUGAUGCUCAUUGCAAUCAGCGUGUUUCCAGAAUUCCUUCACGAGUUUAUCAUAAACUGGACCAUGGAGUCUUUGGAAAUAUCCUUCCCAGCCUUGAGCUUGAGCUUCAGGACGAAGAUCAACUCCGUUGUCAGCAAUAUUGUCGAGGUCGAAUCUCCAUUCAGCAAGAACUUGGAGAUCUUCUGGAGGGAAGACGCAGGUAACUGCACAUCUUCUCUGAGAAAGGGGAACAACAUCUGCGUCUUGGACUUGUGCUUGAGCAUCCUCAGUCGAUCUGGGACGCAGAGCAGGACCCACUUGCCCUGUUGGAAGACCCACAACCAUUCUGGGAAAUACUCUUCCAUCGGCAGAAUCAGAUCGGUCAUUGGAGUCAGCUCUUUCAGAAUUUGCCAUUGUUGAAGGUAGAAGGUUUGGGUAGAAUAGAGAUGAGUGAAAGCGAGAGAGAAUCGAAGAGAAUGAGGGUUUUGUAAGUAAGAGAGAGAAGGAAAAGACGUGAAUGAUGGAGAACGUGUGUGCGUAGUGGUUUUAGAAAGUAACCGUUGUUGAUUGUAAAAGCAAAAGUAAAAUCAACGGUUGAAAAUUAAGGACAUCAUUAUGAACAGUUAAUACACACAUCACACGGUGGAGAUAAAGCACAUCAACACUCAAUACAACAGAUUGUCAGCACGGGCACAAGGAACGAUGUAUCAAAGUAACUGACACACGCUUACUGUCUCAUCUCAGAGUAAGCACCAAUGGGUACUUAUCUUCUGACUAAGUUACCUUCUGAACUAGACAUCUUCUGAUGAAGAAGUAUCAUAGUCAGAGGUUCUGAUCCAUCUUCAUACUGGACAAAAGUCCAUAUUCAGAUUUUUCAGUAUAAAUUUAAAUCUAUCCUCUGCUAAGGGCUUUGUGAAAAUAUCUGCCCAUUGAUGGUCAGUAUCAAUAAACUUCAGAAGAAGUAUGCCCUUCUGAACAUAAUCUCUAAUAAAAUGAUACUUCACCUCAAUGUGUUUAGCCCUUGAGUGUAAGAUUGGAUUCUUACUGAGUGAAAUUGCAGCAGUGUUAUCACAAUAAAUUGGAAUGCUGCUCUCAAGGAUUUGAUAAUCCUCUAGCAGUUGAGGGAACUUUGGGUAUUACUGAGCUAGAUUGUGAGGAAAACCUACCCCGCGAGGCUGGAGCAACUCGAGGUUAGGGCAACUUACUUACUAGCUAUUGUAUUGUAGGCGUCGAUAAAUUCGACUUGAAUAUUGUUUGAUAUUGAAUAUUGCUUGGAUAUUGUUUAUCGCUUUGAAUUGGAAAAUGUUUUCUGGAGGCUUCGGCCGAGUAAACUUAUAUGAGACGUGUGUCUCCGUUUUCUGAGAGGCUUCAGCCGUUUACUGGUUUCCGUCUUAUGAUUUCCGCACUGAAUUAUUGUUAUAUUGACAUUGUUAUUGAACUGUGCGCUUUGUCGCGACUACGGAGUAUGGAAUCAUGGAACGUCCUACUUGUAUUAUUUCGGGUUAAAUGAACAACCCUAGGCAAGUCCAAACCUGAGGUUUGAGAUUAAGCCGAUUGGAACACUUAGAUUUUCCCCGGGGGAUUACAUUUGGGGGGAUUUUGGCAAACUUGGAAUGAUUAGAAUUUGGAACUAGAGAUAUUAGGGAACUUAGUUUUCAAGAAUGAAACUCAUAACUUGACUAAUUCAACUUUAAAUAUUUUUAUUAACGAAUAAAACCAUAGGGAACUCAAGUGGAGAAAUGAUUGCGAAAGACGGGGAAAUGUCGACAAGUUUUGGAGCUGCUGAGAUUUGAUGGUCGUCACGAGGAUGAACCAUAGUGACCAGAGAUACGUCACUGAGUACGAUGCGUACUCCGGCUACUUACAGCCUAGUCGUAGAGUCGACUUUGACCUUCGGGUACUAUUGAAUUAAGAGUCGUAGCUAAACAUUAUAUGGUGAGGACGAUACCAUGUUUGGCUAACCAUAUUGCAUCAUGCAUACAUUCGGGGCUUGAGACGAUCGGAGGAUCGGACUUCGGUGAAGUUGAGACGGCCUCGGUCGGCUUCACGAAGGUUUGAGACAGUCAAAAGAUUGGCCUUCAUCGAAGAACACCAAGAGUGUAUCUUCGGCAUAGCAGGCAAAAUGGUUCAACCUAGAGGGGUUAGAAUUGAUCCGACUAUGCAUGGGUUUGUAAGUGACACCCGAGCGGAAAUGGUUAAACACUAGGCCGGUGUUAGGACUGACUCGAUAGUGCCCAUCCCAAUUGAAUUAUCCGGAUCAUUUGACACACAUUGCAAGCAUACAUGCACCCUGACUGGAAUUGUGUGCUAUUGUCUAUUGAAUUAUUGUUAGAGCCAAUAACAUGCUAGGAAUAUAUAUAAACAUAUAUAUAUCUAUACCCCAAUCACAUGUUGUUUGUAUAUUUACUCUAUUCCGUGAGUUGACCCUAGCACCUUGGCUUUGGUUUCAUGUUUGUGUUUGGGCGGUCGGCCUGCUGCUAGAUGUCGAUGGCAGAUUGGUUUUCGAUGGUCUCUCCCUCGGGGGGAUAAGGUUGAGCUGUUGUCCGACAUGCCCCCACCGCUUGGGUGAUUGAUCCUGUGGAUCAUCGGGCGACGUAUCGGGAAAGGGUCAUGGAGGACCGGACUGAUGAGCGUGGACUGUGGACCGGGCACUGGCCGGAGACCACCUUCACCACCUUCAUCUUCAUCUUACGACGAGGAUCCAUCUGAGAUCAAGGCUGAUACUGAGGCACCUGUCGCGCCACUUCCUGCUACUGCUGUCGAUCCUACCGAUGUUGCGUCGUCCUCGAGGCUCGUGGAGCCGAAGAGGGAGCGUGUUGUUCCGUCUGCCUCUAGGUUGUGUGACUCUGCAAAGAGUAAAAAAAAUUGAUUGUCUGCAGAGCGAUUUUCGCUCUAAUUGUUUGCGUUUACUACUUAAACUUUGACCUUAUGAUUAUUAUCCCUACUAGGACCUUAUUCGAAGUUGCUCGUGAUUUAACUAUAGAAGUUAUACGAGGUCUAGAAUAGCACGCUGGGCUAGGAAGUUGUUUUACCGAUGCACCGAUAAGGAAGCUAGGAUCUUAGGGAUAUUCCUUAUGGGUACUAUACGUAGGAUAUUAGGGCCUUUAGUUUCGAAUUGGAGACGUCAGAAUCUAGAGAGUAGGAGAGACUCAGAUGUGCCUGGUAUUCAGUGGUUCGAGAUUUCGCUGAUGUUUUUCCUGGAGAUGUACCUGGACUACCGCCAGUAUGCGACGUGGAGUUUGUGAUCGACAUUGUACCCGGAACCGGACCGAUUUCGAUCGCACCUUACCGUAUGGCACCUGCAGUGCUAGCAGGGUUGAAGUCUUAGUUGGAGGAUCUUUCGGCGAAAGGAUUUAUUCGACCAAGUGUCUCACCGUGGGGAGCGCCAGUGCUUUUGGUCAAGAAGAAAGAUGGAAAGUCAAGAUUGUGUGUGGACUAUCGACAGCUCAACAAGGCGACAUUCAAGAACAGAUACCCGUUGCCAAGAAUAGAUGAUUUGAUGGAUGAACUUCGAGGGGCUGCCGGAUUCUGUUGGUCAAUCUGCAAGUGCACAGAUAUCUCCGGGUUUUAAUUUAUCGAACCACAGGGAAUUGGAAUGUGAAUUCAGUUUAAGAGUCAAGUUCGAGGUUAAAAAGCGAGUAAAAUUCAGUUUUUAAGAUUGGUUGUUUCUUUGAUUAUGUAAAGAUAAUUGAACAAGUAGUAAAGUGAUCGAAAUUCAGAAAUGAGAUUGCCUUGGGUUCUUGUUCAACUAAUUCAGUUUUAGCAAACCUUCCUAUCCAAUAAAUCCCGAGUCUCUCCUUGAAGUUCUAGCCUAGAUAGUCAGCUAUCGAUGCCUCAGAAAGAAAACCCUUUCUAACCAAAAGAUAGGUUCAAUUCCUUGAUAACCUAAACAUUUGAUAGAAGCAAUAAGCAUACAAUUCAGGCCAACCAACCCCAACUCUUCCUCUAUUCCUAGCAGCAAGUAUAGAAGGAGUAAUCUCACAACAAGUCCCAAUUCUAUAACAAACUAUCGUUAUGAUUAUAGAAACGUAAGAAGCAAGCAUGCAUUCAAGCUUGAAAGAUUAAGCAUAGAAGUGAGAUUCAAGGGUUUACUCAGAAUAUUAUGAAUAGGAAAGGAAUUAAAAGCUAAAACAUCCAAAGUCUUACAAAGAACCCAAAACAAAGGGGUUUUUAGCCAAGCAUGGCUAUGGAAUCCAUACAAGAAAAGAAAGGCAAAACCUGGAUCAUAGGACUUGGAGGAAGCUCCUCAAGCUCUAGAACCCAAACCCUCUCUUCUAACUUAUUGAAAUAUGAUAAAAUGACAAAAGGUUCCAAGAGAAAUGACAAAAAUCCUAUUUAUAGGCAAAAUGAGUGAGUUUUUCAGUGUGUCGGGCGCUCAAGCGCCAGUGCCAGGCUCUCAAGCGCCAGCACCAAAUCCUGGCACAAAAAGUUGUAAGAUCAAGGUUUGAUCAGUGGUUGCAUCUCUAUGUUUUGAUGAUUACAACUAAGGUUUGUGAUGAUGAACAAUUGUGGUACCCUAACGUUUGUCUUUUUAAGCUGUGACAAACAGGUUCUGAAUCUGACCCAAGCCUAUUCGUUCAGAAGAAGAAGAACCAAGGGUUACUAAAAAGAGAGCUAUUUAAUCUAUCAUGUUCGUUCUGAACAGUGGCAAAUACUUCAGAAGCUCUGAAGAUGGAAGCUCUCAAGAAGCUCUGAAGAACUCAAGUCAGAAGUUCUGAAGACCAGAUGUUCCAGUGGAACGGUCCAGAAGCAGAAGACUCAAGUUCUGAAGACCUGCAAGAAGUUGGUUCUGAAGACCCAAGCUAUUCUAGCUCUGACGAUCAGAAGUUCUGAGGAACUUGUUCAGUAGCAGAAGUUGCAAGGUCAGAAGAAUCCAAGCUUCAAUCUGACGAUGAUCAGAAGCUUCACCAACGUUCAUCUGAAGCUCCUUCAUCUCAAGUCAACUGGUGAAAGGACAGGUCGCUUUCACAAUACAACGUCGUACAAGUCUCAGUCUGUCCGCCACCUACCUUGUACAGCCUAGCAGUCUGAUAUUACAGAAUUGCCACUCCAACGGAUAAAACCCUAGCAACGGCUACAUCACAAGUCUUGGAGUAUAUAAAGGCUGAAGGAAGAAGAAAGAGGCCAAGAAACUUUGCUGAAAAUAUUCAACAUAUACGAACCAUUCUCUUAGCAUUAUUUCUUCACUGUUCUUCAACAUCUGAGUUUACUAUUCGCUUGUUAGAAGCACUCAUUGUAAACCUGAAACCUUUUACAUCAUAUUGUAAAGUUCAUCAAGAGACCAAGGUUGGUCGGAUCUUGAGAGGACUGAAUCAAGGCUGAUUCAGUAUUUAGCUAGUCUUAAGAGGAUCGGUAGAUCAGCUUCUUAAGAGGAUACUAGUGAG